CCCUUAGAUGUCCUGGGCCGCACGCGUGCUACACUGACGCAUACAGCGAGCACUUUCCAGUUCCGAGAGACUACUGGUAAUCAUCAAUAUGCGUCGUGAUGGGGAUAGAUCUUUGGAAUUCUGGAUCUUGAACGAGGAAUGCCUAGUAAUCGCAGGUCAUUAGCCUGCGAUGAUUAAGUCCCUGCCCUUUGUACACACCGCCCGUCGCUACUACCGAUUUCGAGUGGUCAGGUGAAUCUUUCGGACUGUGGGCGCCCUUGAGGUGUUCGCGGAAAGUCAGGUAAAUCUUAUCACUUAGAGGAAGUAAAAGUCGUAACA
rnacentral:rRNA from 1 species